CUUCCACCUGUAGAAGAUGCACCACACAAAAAGAGGGAGGACGCAACAAUUCAGCGAUGCUCCACAAAGCUAAAUGGGGAUAGGCUGACACAUUGCUGAUCACCGAGGCUUCACAAGGCUUUGUCGAUGAAUGGGGCCGAUCACUAUUGCAAGGAGGAGGACAUUGACGUGAUGAGCAGGGACUUGGUGACGGUGAAGCUAGGGCUCCAUAGCAAACCAAUGGGGUUGCGACGCACCAUUGAUCAUAGAGUCUCCGUAAGGCUUCCUCGACGAAUGAGAUUAAUCACCGCUACGGUAAGGAGGAUGUUGGUGCAACGAUCGAGAACGUUGGUGAUGGUGAGGCUAGGGCUCCACAACAAACCGAUAGGGUCGUGAUGCAUCGCUGAUCAUCGACCCUCCGCAAGGUUGCCUCGUCGAACGAGGUUGAUCGUCAUUGUGGGAAGGAGGAUUUUGGCAAUGACGAUGAAGGGAGGCUUCCUUAUUUCAUUUCUUGAUCCAUCAUUAGAUAGCGUCGGGUAAUUUGAGAGAAACCGACUUAAGAAUUUCUCCAACUCACAUGGUCGGAAAUGAGUGGUGACAUGUUGCAUCUCUAUUGACUUUGUUUACUCAAGUCAUGGUCGAUAGAGGCCAAGCAAGAAGCUUCCAUUGUUGAGCAACUUUAGUGGAGACAUAUUGUUGCUGAAAGAUCUCUGUGGAUACCAAGUGAUGAUGCAGGUUGAAGGAUGCUUCAAUAAAUAUCAUUGUCUA
rnacentral:lncRNA from 1 species